AUUGAACGCUGGCGGCAUGCCUUACACAUGCAAGUCGAACGGCAUCGCGGGAAAGCUUGCUUUCCUGGCGGCGAGUGGCGAACGGGUGAGUCACACAUCGGAACGUACCGGCUAGUGGGGGAUAACCCGUCGAAAGACGGGCUAAUACCGCAUACGCUCUUCGGAGGAAUGCAGGGGACCUUUUGGCCUUGCGCUAGCCGAGCGGCCGAUGUCCGAUUAGCUAGUUGGUGGGGUAAAGGCCUACCAAGGCGACGAUCGGUAGCGGGUCUGAGAGGACGAUCCGCCACACUGGGACUGAGACACGGCCCAAACUCCUACGGGAGGCAGCAGUAGGAAUCUUGGACAAUGGGGGCAACCCUGAUCCAGCAAUGCCGCGUGGGUGAAGAAGGCCUUCGGGUUGUAAAGCCCUUUCGGCAGGGAAGAAAUAGGCGUGGCGAAUAACCCUGCUGGAUGACGGUACCUGCAGAAGAAGCACCGGCUAACUACGUG
rnacentral:rRNA from 1 species